CUCGUAGGCGGCCAACUAAGUCAGACGUGAAAUCCCUCAGCUUAACUGGGGAACUGCGUCUGAUACUGGAUGGCUUGGAUCCGGAAGAGGGAUGCGGAAUUCCAGGUGUAGCGGUGAAAUGCGUAGAUAUCUGGAGGAACACCGGUGGCGAAGGCGGCAUCCUGGGCCGGUAUUGACGCUGAGGAGCGAAAGCCAGGGGAGCAAACG
rnacentral:rRNA from 1 species